rnacentral:lncRNA from 1 species
CCCCAGCUGCUCUCCAUCCUGCACAUCUGGUUCCGCUUCCUCCCUCCCGGGGAAGUGAAAGUGGAGGGGAAGGCGCAACCGGGAGCCAGCUAGCGGUGGCGGGCACCCCGCAUCCCACUGCCCCCGCGGGUGCCGGAGCAAGAGCACCCCGCCCUCCUGCUCGGGUCACGCGGCGGCCGGCGCUGCUGCCGUCACGUCCUCGGCCCCGGCGCGCCGGCUUUUCGGUGCCCUCCAGCUCCCUGCUCAGCCACCUCCCCCUCCGCGCGCCCUCUGCCCCAGCCCGACUUCCCGUUGCCCGGCAUGUGGGCGUUGGAGACCCGAGUGGCCCCUGUUCCCGUGGCUCCACUUAGGGAGAAAGGGUGACCCUCCGCAGGACUCCCCCGGUCGGGUCCGGGGAAUCCCUGCGCGUGCUCAGCGCUUGGGGGGGGCAUCCGCUCGCCGCUCCGACUGUCCCACCUAACUGCCUCUGCCUGUGCCUUGGGCAUGGGGCUCCCGCUCGCCUGCACUAGGUGAGGGGGGGGUGCCCCAGAGUUAAAUCUGGAGGCUGAUGCGGACUCCUGGCUUCACCUCCCAGACGUGGAGGCUAAAUUUAGCUGGAGUUGGGGCGUGUGUGUCCAGGAGCCAGCCUGGCCCCGGGAGACUCCUUUGCUCUCUCCAGUUAGUUCUCUGGGCCAAGAGUGGGAGAUAAAGUAGAACUGUUCAUCCCGGAGCCAUGGAAUCUCCUCGGCCUUGCUCAGGCCCCUUUGGUCUGAAGUUCGGACUUGGCUUGAUGCUGCGCUGGCACCUUCAGCAGAACCCCCCGCCCCACGGCGCCGCCACACACACCCAUAGGCUGACUUCUGCUGAGCUGCAGCUUCCCCUCCGCCGUUUCAGGAAGUAACCUCCCUUCCCCUCUGAAGCACUCCCCCACACCUCCCAGCCCCUGAUGCAAACCACCCACCAGGCUCUUCCCAGCGUCUGCACCCUGGGGCGUCUCAGGAACCUUGGGGCUCCUACUCCCUGGGGCGGGCCAUGGAGGCAGGUGAGGAAACAGUUACUGAAAGGCUGUUGUGGGCCUAAUUCUGUCUCGGCUCGGGCUCCGGGGCUCUGUGGCAGAGGGCGAGGGACUGCGGGAACCCGUCUCCCACAGUCACUUUAGACCUAACUGGAGACAUCUAAGGAUCCUGUGGGUGGGAGGGCACUGUGGCUGCGCCAGGCUGGUGGAGUUAAGGAAAGGCACUAAAGCUUGGGUUUUGUGAGGUUUCCCAGAAUCCUGUGGGAGUGGGCCCUUUUGGAGUGUCAACUGGGUCAGGAGGUCCUUAGGAUGUCAUAACUAGAGCAGAAAGCCAGAAACCCUUAAAAAAGACUAAGGUUGGUGUGACGUGGCCAGAAUCAAUGGUGUCAUUGCAGGUCAUUACAGGAAAUAGUGUGAUCUCUGGUGUUCUAACCAGGCAGGUAGUGGGGAGGGGUGGGGCCUUGGAAGGCAUACACGAGCAACAUGGUGUCAGAGCCCAGGCUAGCGGUCUGAGGUGGAGUUUGGUUCUUUGGGGAGAGAACUGCCAAGUGGGAGGAACCUGGUCUUUUUAAGGAGCUGUGGUGGGCUCUGAGCGCCUGGGGAUGUGAGAGGUGGGAAUGACUGACCUUAUCCCAUCUUCUUUUGGAAGGAUUAGGAACCGGAGGGGACUGAAGGGAGGGGGUAGCACUCUGUUGCCGUGGCAACACCGGUUUCCCUUGCUCCAUCUCUCCCCCACUUGCCCAUUCCAGAUGCAGUGAGUGAGGGGGGGGCCAUGGCUGAGGAGCGGCCCCCCCGGCUGGUGGAUUACUUCGUGGUUGCUGGGCUUGCGGGGAAUGGAGCACCUAUCCCUGAGGAAACAUGGGUUCCUGAGCCCAGUGGACCCCUGCGCCCUUCCCGGCCAGCUGAGCCCAUCACCGAUGUGGCAGUCAUUGCUAGGGCACUGGGCGAGGAGGUGCCCCAGGGCUAUACAUGCAUCCAGGCUUCUGCUGGGGGCCACCCCUUGGAAUUCAGUGCUGGGCUCCUGGGUGGAACUCAGCCUGUCAUCUGCUACCGCAGAGGCCGGGACAAACCCCCCCUUGUGGAGUUGGGGUAUGUGCCUCCUACGCAUGCUGGCCCCAGGGGAGCUGGGAGGGACUAUGAGUUAGAGCCAAGUCAAGGUAGGGGUGUGGGAUGAGGGGAGGGCCAGAGGCCAGGGAGGAGGGGCUGAAGUUGUCAGUGCUUGGUCUCAGGUUGUCUCAGGUUGGGUUUGCAUGCCCGUGCUGCUGCCACCUAGCCCUUUGGUCUUGGGCAGGUUAUAAAGCCCCACCAAUGAGGAUAAUAGUCCCUCGUAGGAUGCUUGAUAAGAUUGAGUGGAGUAAGACCCCUGAGGGAUUCAGCACGUCAGUGACUUCUUAGUGUCUGUUCAUGAGAGAGAGAGUCGCGGAAGGCAUGUGGGUUGUUACUGACUGACAAGUAGGGUCAAGGGCAAAGAGGGGCUAUGGGAUUCUGAGUUCAGCAAGCAGAGGUGGGCCCGGUAUUGGGUUUGACAAGGCUGAGUGUGCAGGGCAGUUUCCACUAGGUAGGCAGAUCUGACAGGAUUGGGGUCUUUCUCCUCGGUCCUGUCCUCUUGACAUUUCUCUGUUUUCUGUGCCCAGGGUGUUAUAUGAGGGCAAGGAACGUCCCAAGCCUGGCUUCCAAGUGCUUGAUACUACACCGUACAGCCACUCAGCCAACCUGGCCCCUCCAGGCCCCGGGCAUCCCCGCACCUACCUCACUUAUAGGCGGGCAGCAGAGGGGGCAGGACUGCAUGCCCUGGGCAUCACUGACCUCUGCCUGGUCCUGCCCAGCAAGGGUGAGGGCACGCCUCAUACUUACUGCCGGUUGCCCCGCAACCUCAACCCUGGCAUGGUGAGUGGGGCUGUGGAGCUGAGAGCUGAGACCUGGGCCCUUGGUGUGAGGGUGUGGAACUGGGCCCAAGGGUAUAAAGGGGCCAGGGGCAGGCCAGACGGGUGAUAGGGCUUGAGGGCUUGUGAUUAGAGGCAGCUCAGAAGAUCAUUUGGGGGUAGUAGAGAGAAAGUGGACCCCAGAAACCUUUGGUAGCUGUGUGUUUGCUUGUUUCUUGCCAUCGGGGGCAGUGGGGCCCAGCAGUGUACCUGUGCUUCAAGGUGGGCCUGGCCAAAGCCAACACACUGGUGUAUGAGGCAGGUGAGUGGCCCCUUUGUCCCUCCUAGCCUUUGACCCUUCGUGUCCCUCUGCCCUUGGUGCCUCUUGGCUGAUUCCUUCAAGUGUUCCCUAGAAUUCAUUUCCCUUUUGCUGCUUGGCCUUCUCUGGGAUCCCCUGGCUCCUCUCCCUGAAGUCUGAUGGACACCCCUCCUUUUGGGUACUCCUCACUCUGCUUGGGUGCAGAGCUGCUGGGCCGCUACCCAGAGGAGGACAAUGAGGCUUUCCCGCUGCCCGAGUCAGUGCCAGUCUUCUGCCUGCCCAUGGGGGCCACUAUCGAGUGCUGGCCCUCCCAGACCAAGUACCCCGUGCCCGUCUUCUCCACCUUUGUACUCACGGGUGCCGCUGGCGAUAAGGUAGGUGUGGGGCCUGUGGUAAGGGUCUGGGCCAUGCAGAGCCUGCCUGACCGUCCCUCUGUCCCCUGCCAGGUGUAUGGUGCCGCCCUGCAGUUCUAUGAGGCCUUUCCAAGGGCCAGGCUGUCAGAGCGGCAGGCGCGGGCACUGGGCCUGUUGAGUGCCGUGGAACGGGGCCGGGCGCUGGGCGGCCGUGCGGUGCGCAGCCGGCGGGCCAUCGCCGUGCUAUCCCACUGGCCUGCCUUUCCAGCCUUCAGAGCCUUCCUCACCUUCCUUUACCGCUACUCCGUCUCCGGCCCCCACCGCCUGCCCUUGGAAGCGUGAGCAUGGCUACCCUGCCACUGGGGAGGAGUGAGGAGGGUGCAGGGAGGCGGGAAAGAUUAGCAUGGAGAUGGGAGUGGGCUGGGCACGGGGAGGGGCCGGCCGGAGUGUGGGGUUGUACAGUGUGGCCAUUGGAAAAAACUGUCACCGGAGGAGGAGACGGACAGCCUGAAAUCCAGUCUGUCCUGCUGGUUGGGCCUGGCGAGGGCUGCGUGUGAUUUGCACAAGUCUGUUGAACAAGAGAGGCUGGGUGGCUGAUGCAGGCCUUGAAGUGGGGUUCAGGGAGGAAUAAGAUUCUUUUUUUUUUUUCCUAUGAAAUUAAAUUUUUUAAGUGAUUAUUUUUAGUUGUAUAUUUCACUUAUUCAUUUUUAGGUGGUGCUGAGGAUGGAACCCAGGGUCUCGCAUGUGGGAGGCCAGCCUCUGCCGCUGAGCCCCACCCGCCCUGUUCUUAGUUCUGGGUAGCAGUGGGGUAGGACUAGGGCUCUUAGGAGAGGAGAGGGAGAGGGACACGGGGUGGAGGAGGACGGGUGGACGGCGUGUGCCUCACCUGCUCCCUCUCUCCCCAGGCACAUCUCCCACUUCAUUCACAACGUGCCCUUCCCUUCCCCACAGAGACCCCGCAUCUUAGUGCAGGUAAGGGCCAGGGCUGGGCUGGACGGACGGAGAGGAGCAGGCCUGUCACCAACACUGACCUCUGGCUUUUCGGCCCCCUAGAUGUCUCCCUAUGACAACCUGCUCCUCUGUCAGCCUGUGUCCUCACCCUUGCCCCUCAGGUAUGUGCCCGGGUUUGGGGGAGGGGGUCUUUGAUGACUGAGGACAUGGUAGGUGCCGGGGGCAGUUGUUGAGGUCCUUGCAGGCUGGACCCCAGCGGUGUCCCUGCCUGGUUCCUGGGGAAGAGUCUCCAGGGCCUGCUGGUGACGCACCCCCACCCUCGCAUUGCCUGCAGCGGCGCCAGCUUCCUGCAGCUGCUGCAGAGCCUGGGCCCUGAGCUGGCUGUCACGCUGCUGAUGGCUGUGCUCACAGAGCACAAGUUGCUGGUCCACUCGCUGAGGCCAGACCUGCUCACGAGCGUCUGUGAGGCCCUCGUCUCAGUGAGUACCACCUGUCCGCCCACUCUUCUGGAUUUGUCCCCUUACUUUUCCUUCCUUGAGGAGGUUCUCAGUCCCUUUCCCUGGGUACAGACUUUCGGGACAAACAAGCACCAUUUCCCCAGGGCCAGUGCCCUCUCCGCUCCUGUGUCCCUCCCUGCUGCCCCGGCCCCUGUUCACUGCUCCUCUCUGGGCUUCAGAUGAUCUUCCCGCUGCACUGGCAGUGCCCCUACAUUCCGCUGUGCCCCCUGGUGCUGGCAGACGUGCUGAGCGCCCCCGUGCCCUUCAUCGUGGGCAUCCACUCCAGCUACUUUGAUCUGCAUGACCCUCCUGCCGACGUCAUCUGUGUCGAUCUCGAUACUAACACGCUCUUCCAGUAAGAGGCUGGGUCUCACGGGGACGGGAGGCUAGCUCGCAGGAGCCCACGUGUGAGCUGCUAUGGCUCCAGGCCUGAGGCGAAGGGGGGAGGAGCAUGUGAGGAGCCCUGUCGUUCUUUUUCUCCUGUUUAUCUCCUAGGACAGAGGAAAAGAAGCUCCUCUCCCCUCGGACCCUGCCCCGCAGACCCUACAAAGUUCUGCUGGCCACACUAACAACCCUGUACCAGCAACUGGACCAGAGUGAGAAGACUGGGUGGGGGUGGGAGGCUGGGACUGUCAUUGGGCUCCCGCCUCUAGUGUGGGGAAGGCUGGGGGGGCUAGACAUUCCUUGAGGAGGUUAGAGGAGUCAGGAUCUGGUGGUAGUCAGGGGGUUCUGCUUCCAACAGAAGCCAGAGGGAAGGAAGCUGGGUGCCACGGGGCAUGCCUGUAAUCCCAGUGAGUUGGGAGGCUGAGGCUCACAAGUUUAAGGCCAGCCUCAGCAAGUUAGUAAGAGAGACCCUCAGCACCUUAGUAGACCCUGUCUCUAAAUCAAAAAUAAAAUAGGACUGAGCUGCACCCUUAAGCUCAAUCUCCAGUACAGCAUUCCCGAACACAUCCCAGGGGGCUGGGGAUGGAACAGGUGUCAGUGUGAAGGAUGGGGUGGGCAAGCACUGUGGGUGCUGACUCCGACUCUGGGCAUCGCUUCCCAGCGUACACUGGACCUGAGGAGGAGGCAUCCCUGGAAUUCCUGUUGACGGACUAUGAGGCUGUCUGCGGCCGCCGCGCCCGCUUGGAGCGGGAAGUCCAGGGAGCCUUCCUGCGCUUCAUGACCUGCCUGCUCAAGGGCUACCGGGACUUCCUGCGCCCCCUCACCCAGGCCCCUUCUGAGGGGGCUCGUGACGUUGACAACCUUUUCUACCUUCAGGGUAACGUGAGCCUGUCUCUGCUUAGAAAGGGUAUCAUGGGAGGGGUGGCCUGGGGACUGCCAGGUUUCUCAUUCCCUCACUCAGUGUUUUGGUGGCACCUGCUUGAGCCAUCCACUCUUAAGGUCUUGGAGGAAGUAAGGGUACAAAGAUGAGGCAGAUGGGGCCCCGCUCUCUGGGAGCCCUGGGCAUAGAGUGGACACAAUGACCUUUGUGAGCAGCCCCCAUGGGCAAAGCUCUGUUGAGGGACCUGUCCUUGGAGAGCCCUCAGCGUAUGACGGUGGGUGCAGGUAAACAAAAGGAAGGACUCUGGGGGCCCUGGUGCUAGAGGGAGCUGAGCUGGUCCCUCUGUGUGUCAGGGGUAUGUGUCAGUGGGCCGAGAGUUGACGACCUCCGUGAGCAUGGCUCCUGAGAAAGCAGAGGGCCAAGAAUAGGGCAGGGCAGGAUGGCUGCAGGAGAGAGCCCUGGUCAUCUCCCUUCCCUGCCUCACUCUUGUCCCCAUCAGGUUUCCUCAAGUCCCGAGAACGCUCCAGCCACAAGCUGUACUCUCAGCUGCUGCACACGCAGAUGUUCUCACAGUUCAUCGAAGAAUGUUCUUUUGGCUCUGCUCGGCAUGCUGCCCUUGAAUUCUUUGACUCUUGUGUUGAUAAGGUAUCAAGUAUGUCCCUUCUCUAUGUGCCCAGUGGUCUCUGCUCUCCUUCUGCUUCUCUCUUGCCCACAGGCUACUGUAAACCCAAAUAUGUCUCAGCUGUGACAGGGAGGGCACCCCUGGAGUCACGAGCACACAGCGUGUGCCACUGGCUUCCUCUGCGAAGUAUCGUCCCAUUCUCAACUCUGUCCCCCAGCCGGGUCUUCAGGACUCCUUCCCUGCGGACGUGCUUUCCUGGAAGAUGCCAUAUUCCGGACGUCUGGCAUGCUCCAUGCCCACUGUCUUUUUAUUUUAUUUUUUGCGGUACUGAGGAUCGCACCUACGAGUGCUCUGCCACGGAGCUGCCUCCCCGAUUCUUUUUAUUUUUCAUUUUGAGGCA